AAAGUACCACAAAAAACUUAACAGUGUUCAAUAUUCCAAGAGCUCUAAAGCCGUUGUUGACAUUAGUGAUGGCAAAACAUCUGAAUGCGAUGCAAUUUUGUUUUAAUUCCAGACUCAAAAUUGUAAAUACUGAGUUGUACAGACUACUUUUAUGGUGCUGUUAUGAUGUUUUUGUUCUUUUUAGUGAUCAUUUGUUCCUUAUGGGUUUGGAAGAAAAUGAGGGUGAGUGAUGUCCUUAUUGCGAGCUGUUCCUUUAAGUUGAUACUGUUUUGAUUUUUUUCUUUCUUUUAAUUUAUACUUUAUCUUCAUUUAUUUGUAUUUGUAAAUUAAAACAGGCCAAUAACUGGAUUCAAAACUGGUUUAUUGAAAGGUUGCUGGAUUUUGUUUGUCCCAACUACUUUGUACCCUGUUAUUCAGACAUAUAUUUGUUUUAAAUACAUUGAGGAGCAAAAUCACCCUGAUAAUAAUUCAGUCAAUCUGAUGUAGUGUAUAAUGCCUGAUGGUCAUCCCUGCCCUGGUAAAACUCUGCAAUCUAAUAUGGUUUAGCUGAUUUGAUAUAAACAGAAAUUCAUAUUAAAUAUUGUAUUUAUCAUUCUUUGAAACUGGUUUAGAAAUAAUCACCAUUUGGAACAUAUAGGAGGGUAUCAAUUUCCAUAAAAUGCUUGGAAUAAAUUUAAUGUUUUAAUGUAAUCAUGUAAUCCUCUGGUAAGGUUGUGACGAUAGAUGUUUGUUAGAUGGUCAGUAUAUGCAAUUACCCUUUGAAAUGCAAUUUGACUAACAGAUUAAUGAGACAUUAUUAUAUUAAAUUAAUUGCAUCUUACAUUUAUCAAGCAUUCAAGGCACCUUGGUAGGAUACCAACAUAUGUAAAUACUCUGCAUGAUACAUAGUUCUGUGUUGUGAACCUUUGACCACACAACGAGAACAUACAUUGUGCAACAAUGGUGUAUAUUUAGCAGGAAGUCACACACAAAAUGACAUUAUAUGUGCAACACAGACAGUCCAUGUUGGAAGAUAUAUACUCAGAUAUUUAUUUGUAAGCAAACAGAUUUGGGGGCGCAUUUGUAGGUCAAAGCUAAUUUUUCACUUUGAGUGUUGUAAAGUAUAUUUGUAUGUAUCUGACUGUGUGAUAAUAAUGAACAAAGUAAUGUUGUUUCCUUAUUGACAACAUAAUGCAAACCAGAAAACCUCCAAACAUUAUUUAAAUAAUAAUUUACAUGAUGUUCUUUGCUUGCUUUCUUUUUGUUUAAUAAAAAUCUCCAGCCUUCUUUAAAAGUGAAACAACAAAUAAAGUAAACAAAAUGAUAAA